UGGCCUAUCAAUUAGCCAAAGAAUGAACACAAAAAAUGGAAUCAUCAUUGAUUGUCAAAAUAGGUCUCACUUGAUUAAAAUAUAACUCCAUGUCAAUUGUAAAGAGUUUUGGCAUAUUUUGAUGUCAUUCAGAAAGUGAUUAGGCUUCUUUCAAUUCAGUUGUGUGAAACAUAAAUAUUUUCUUUAUAAAAAUGGCUAAGAACUUCGUAUUGAUGUUUCUUAUGUUCUUUAUGGUAAUUCAGUUAAAUGCGGCUCCGGGUAAAACUAAGGAAGAAAAUAAAACAUUGACGUACUACGAUCCAAUAACCGUCGGAUGCGAUCAAUUCCUAUCUUUUCUUUUACCACCGCCAAGAUUUAAUGGAAAACCACAAAAGGAAAGCGCUGCAUACAAAGUUGACACUAAUACUACAGCAAUAGAUUAAAACAUGAAUUAAAAUCUAUAAUGAUUCAAAAAUAUUCAAAAUGAGUAAGCUGGAAUGCGAAAACAAUAACUUGAUGUAAUUGUCUAAACAAACAAUGUUUAAGUUCACAAUAAGCAAAAAAAAAAAAAAAUAUUCACGAACCAAAUUUGGUGAUUUUUACUCACAAUUUUAUUUACUUCUUAAUCAUGGAAUCUGAUGCGUUUGACUUAACUGCCAUUGAGAAAAAUCAUUUCUUUCUUUUGAAAUAAAAUAAAAAUCAUGAUGCUGGAAACAGUAAUCGAGCAAUCGAAACUAUUCAAUAUUCACCAAUUCUAUCUUUCGUGGAUGGUGAGCCUCUUUUGAAUUUCUGCAAAAUUUCCGCAAUCUUUUCAAUUUGACAUGGUGUUAAUUGACAUUUCUCAUUUUAUUUCCUCAAAUUCCACAUUGCUCAAACUGCUCGUAUUGCUUGAAUCGCAGGAAUCAUAUGGACUGAUGAAUGAGCCGCACAGUUUUUGGAGAUGCAGCGUGUAUACUUGGAUUCGUGUAAAUCUGUUACUAUAAACUGGGCUGGUAUUCUACGACAAUUCCACAAGAAUCGUUCGGAAUUAUUGUUUAUAGCUCAGCUCAGUGAAAACAAUAGAUGUUAUUGUUAUUAUUAUAUUAAAACUUGCUUUACUACAGUCACUAUAACAAUCAUUUCUAAUGUUUUCAGUCCGUUUCAGCGCCUGACGAUAGCUAACAUUUCGAGUGUGUGACUUUUGUUUAUCUUUUUAACGUUCGGCGACAAAUGUAGAGUCCUAUUAGAGUUUUAUUUUGGAACUUUUGAUAGACAUCAAUUUGUCGCCAAAUGUUGAAAAGACAAAAAAUUAUAAUUUUUUUUAAUAGAAACUAUAUUAAUAAUUCCACCAUGUAGAAAGGUUUCGGAAUAAUUUCACUGAUAAUAAGUAACUACCAAAAGUAUGAUUAAUGCGUGUUAUUCUCGCUAUGUGCUGCAAUGUUUAUUCAAAACAAUAUUCAUUCAUACAAAUAUGUUUUUCGGAAUAAUUCCGAAUAAGUUUAUCAGAAAAUGUAUUAGAAUACCGGCCCUGAUCAAUUGUUCAAUAUAGUUAGA